AGUGAACGCUGGCGGUAGGCCUAACACAUGCCAGUCGAACGGCAGCACAGUAAGAGCUUGCUCUUACGGGUGGCGAGUGGCGGACGGGUGAGGAAUACAUCGGAAUCUACUUUUUCGUGGGGGAUAACGUAGGGAAACUUACGCUAAUACCGCAUACGACCUACGGGUGAAAGCAGGGGAUCUUCUGACCUUGCGCGAUUGAAUGAGCCGAUGUCGGAUUAGCUAGUUGGCGGGGUAAAGGCCCACCAAGGCGACGAUCCGUAGCUGGUCUGAGAGGAUGAUCGGCCACACUGGAAGUGAGCCACGGUCCAGACUCCUACGGGAGGCAGCAGUGGGGAAUAUUGGACAAUGGGCGCAAGCCUGAUCCAGCCAUACCGCGUGGGUGAAGAAGGCCUUCGGGUUGUAAAGCCCUUUUGUUGGGAAAGAAAAGCAGCAGGUUAAUACCCCGCUGUUCUGACGGUACCCAAAGAAUAAGCACCGGCUAACUUCGUG
rnacentral:rRNA from 1 species